AUGAACGCUGGCGGCGUGCCUAAUACAUGCAAGUCGAGCGAACAGACGAGGAGCUUGCUCCUCUGACGUUAGCGGCGGACGGGUGAGUAACACGUGGAUAACCUACCUAUAAGACUGGGAUAACUUCGGGAAACCGGAGCUAAUACCGGAUAAUAUAUUGAACCGCAUGGUUCAAUAGUGAAAGACGGUUUUGCUGUCACUUAUAGAUGGAUCCGCGCCGCAUUAGCUAGUUGGUAAGGUAACGGCUUACCAAGGCGACGAUGCGUAGCCGACCUGAGAGGGUGAUCGGCCACACUGGAACUGAGACACGGUCCAGACUCCUACGGGAGGCAGCAGUAGGGAAUCUUCCGCAAUGGGCAAAAGCCUGACGGAGCAACGCCGCGUGAGUGAUGAAGGUCUUCGGAUCGUAAAACUCUGUUAUUAGGGAAGAACAAAUGUGUAAGUAACUAUGCACGUCUUGACGGUACCUAAUCAGAAAGCCACGGCUAACUACGUG
rnacentral:rRNA from 1 species